rnacentral:rRNA from 1 species
CAGCCGCCGCGGGAAAACGGAGGGUGCAAGCGUUAAUCGGAAUUACUGGGCGUAAAGCGCACGCAGGCGGUCUGACAAGUCAGACGUGGAAUCCCCGGGCUUAACCUGGGAACUGCAUUUGAAACUGUCAGGCUGGAGUCUUGUAGAGGGGGGUGGAAUUCCAGGUGUAGCGGUGAAAUGCGUAGAGAUCUGGAGGAAUACCGGUGGCGAAGGCGGCCCCCUGGACAAAGACUGACGCUCAGGUGCGAAAGCGUGGGGAGCAAACAGGAUUAGAGACCCCUGUAGUCCCUGUCUCUUAUAC